UACGAAGGGGGCUAGCGUUGCUCGGAAUCACUGGGCGUAAAGGGUGCGUAGGCGGGUUUUAAGUCAGGGGUGAAAUCCUGGAGCUCAACUCCAGAACUGCCUUCGAUACUGAAGAUCUUGAGUCCGGGAGAGGGUGAGUGGAACGUGCGAGUGUAGAGGUGAAAUUCGUAGAUAUUCGCAAGAACACCAGUGGCGAAGGCGGCUCACUGGCCCGGUACUGACGCUGAGGCACGAAAGCGUGGGGAGCAA
rnacentral:rRNA from 1 species